UCUUAACUCUGGCGGCGUGCCUAAUACAUGCAAGUCGAGCGAACAGACGAGGAGCUUGCUCCUCUGACGUUAGCGGCGGACGGGUGAGUAACACGUGGAUAACCUACCUAUAAGACUGGGAUAACUUCGGGAAACCGGAGCUAAUACCGGAUAAUAUAUUGAACCGCAUGGUUCAAUAGUGAAAGACGGUUUUGCUGUCACUUAUAGAUGGAUCCGCGCCGCAUUAGCUAGUUGGUAAGGUAACGGCUUACCAAGGCAACGAUGCGUAGCCGACCUGAGAGGGUGAUCGGCCACACUGGAACUGAGACACGGUCCAGACUCCUACGGGAGGCAGCAGUAGGGAAUCUUCCGCAAUGGGCGAAAGCCUGACGGAGCAACGCCGCGUGAGUGAUGAAGGUCUUCGGAUCGUAAAACUCUGUUAUUAGGGAAGAACAAAUGUGUAAGUAACUAUGCACGUCUUGGCGGUACCUAAUCAGAAAGCCACGGCUAACUACGUG
rnacentral:rRNA from 1 species